CCCCCACCACGCCCCCUACAUCAGGGACGUUGCUCUGGAUACGGUGAAGACGGGGAUGGGCGGAGCCACAGGUAACAAAGGGGGAUGGGCCAUCCGCAUGCUGUUCCAUACGACCAGUAUCUGUUUCGUCUGCUCCCACUUCGCUGCGGCCAAUCACAGGUCAAGGAGAGGAACGACGACUACAAACGAGAUCACACGCAAAACUCACCUUCCCCAUGGGUAGACUGCUCUACUCCCAUGACUACAUCUUCUGGUGUGGGACUUUAACUACCGCAUCAGUCAGCCAACGAGGAAGUCAAGGAGUUGAUCAGACAACAGAACUGGGAAGCCCUGACCGCCGGAGACCAACUGGUGGACCAGAAGAACCAGGGAUG